UAAUUGGGAAGUUAUAAAUUGAGUCUGAAAGCAGGGCCAGACAGAGAACAGCACUGCUGUCAAACAUAGUGGGACUCUUUGUGGAGACCAACAACUACAACUCUAGUAUACUGCAGCUGGGGAAUAUUGGUACUCGGUGAGAAAAAGAUGCCAUUGAACGUGACCCCCAAGAAUGAAGCAACUGGCAUUGAGAGCAAUUUUAUGGCAUCUUUAUCUCGUAAACUUUGCAAUGAUAACAGUACCUGUCCACAUAGAAAGGGAAGCAAAACUUGGUCAAUGUCUGCAGAACUUCCUGUGGAGAGAAAACAGAGAAUUUAUGCAUCU